GACCACCGUACCAAGUAAAACUUCAAGGAGAUCGACCACCUCGGUUUCUACAGAACCGCCCAUUCUCCACCGUACUCAACGGUGUAUCCGGUGUAGAGAUCAGUCUCUUCUUCUCUUUAGGAGCCGUUGAAGCUUCGUCACGGUGCUGGUGGUUGGUGUUAUCAUCGAUUCGUCGGAUUAUUUAUUCGUAGUCGUCUAGAAAUUUGAUUUUCAGAAAGUAUAAUCAAGAUGCCUAGGACUGCGUCAAAGAAAGGGCCAGCCAAUUCCUCUAGUUCUUCCGCCGUUGAUCUAUUUCGCUCUGCUUCAGGUAAAGCUGCUACGAAAGAGUUGGAACGUAUCGAUCAGCUAUAUUAUUCCUAUGCAAAUAAUUUAUCUGGUAUGAUCGAUCCUGAAGGAAUAGAAUCUCUCUGUUCUGAUCUAAAAGUUGAUCAUACAGAUGUACGAAUAUUGAUGCUAGCUUGGAAAAUGCAAGCUGAAAAGCAAGGAUACUUUACCCUGGAGGAGUGGCGAAAAGGUCUCAAAGCAUUGCGUGCUGACACUAUAAUAAAAUUAAAAAAGGCACUUCCUGAGCUUGAAAAGGAGGUUCGAAGGCCAUCAAAUUAUGUGGAAUUCUAUUCCUAUGCAUUCCGAUACUGCUUAACAGAGGAGAAGCAAAAGAGCAUCGAUAUUGAAAGCAUAUGUGAGCUAUUGGAGCUCGUUUUGGGGUUGCAGUUCCGUCCUCAGGUGGAUCUUUUUGUUCAAUAUCUAAGGACGCAGAUUGAUUACAAGGUCAUAAACAUGGAUCAGUGGAUGGGUUUCUACAGAUUCUGCCAGGAGAUAAGCUUCCCAGAUUUCAGCAACUAUGAUGCCGAACUUGCUUGGCCCCUGAUUCUAGACAAUUUUGUUGAAUGGGUGAGGUCAAAACAGACCUAAUCGAGUUUCCAUCGAGCAGAAUCGGACCUCUCUGUCUCAUUGAUCGUACCCAAUAUUUGCGCAGGAUCCUGAUCUAACGAUACAUAUAUUGCAUGGAAUUUUGUUUAUGUUUGUUCAUGAACACUUUCUCUGUCAAAUAUUCCUAUUCUUGUACUUAAUUUGAAAUCUUAAAAGAGACGAAAUAGGCUUGAUUUUUGUUAGGAUCGGUGUUCUAAAAGACUGCAACGUGCCGUGGCACAAGGCCCGUCUCGAUGUUGAUCCCCAUGGCAUGCCAUGGCUCGAUGUGCAUGUUUAUUGUAAGAAUUAUUUGAUCUCUUUUUUUUACA